CUUCCCCCAGCUCUCGACUCUCUGCGAAGUCUCUGCUGGGAUGAUAGCCAUCCGCCCCCACCCCUCGUGUCCCGUCCGGCCCUGCCCGACCAACUCUAGAGCACUGGACCGAGGCAGGCUCCGGCUCUCUUGAGAUCCCUAAAUGGGAAACCUGAGGAGGACAGAUGCUGCCACCUAAAGUCGCUGUCCCUGAUCGACUCGUCCCAGAGCAGCUUCAUCCUGCCUCCCCGGACCGUCUCAGCCCUUACUUUCUUGUCUUGGCCGCUCAGCGGGCAACAAGGUCUUUCCCUCCACGAUCAGCAGACGGGCCCUCCUCCCUCCCCACCGGAUCAGAAGAAGAAAGGCACCCUGCCCAUUCUGGUCCCAGUCCCCCCUCUCCUCGGCCCCCAGC